ACCUGAAGAGCAUGUAAUGACACAUCUGUCAGUGGUUUCACCAUUCUCAAUCAAUCAGAAGUGAGGGUUUCAAUAGCUUCUAACACUUAAUGUAAGUCCCUGACAAAAUACUUUGUUGACAGCUACCCUGAAUGUCCUAUUCAUUGAGUCUAGAACAUCGCCUUGUAUGUCACUCUGGACAUGCAGAUAAUCUGAGGUAGUGUUGCACAAUACGAUAUGACGAUUGUAUUGUGUAAUUGAAAAUUCAAUGUAUAGAUCAGAUUGGGACCAUGAUGUAUCACCUUACAUAUUGUAAACAAUUGAGGUUUCAAUUUGUUUCGUACAAAAAAAAUUUACCCAGACAUUACCCAAUUAAACUCACUAGGGUCCCUGGGAAAAAGAGCCAUAAAAAUAUCAUCCCUAUUAAAGCAAUGUUUAUUCCCUACUCAUAUAUAUUAUACUCUAAACCUUUGCUGGAAAAGGGUGGUUACACUUUAACAAUUAAUUCAUUUGGGAUUAUAUAUCUCCAUAUCAUGGAUUUUAUAGGUGGCAAUCUUGCAGCCCUAAUCUUGAAUACCUGCUGCUUAAAGGAGGAUGAAAACUUGUUUUCUAGACAAUGUACACAGGAUAAUUAAUACCAAUAUAAAACAUAUUACCUCUAUGCAAUGAUGCAUUCCUUUUUAUCUUUCAUUUUCAUUUGGAAGAUUUUUCCCACUUCCCCUUCCUUGAUACAUGUAUAUCUCUGUACAGUUGACUCAGAUAUGAAUUUACUCAGAAUUAUGGUUACCUGUACAUGAAGAGCAGAUUGUAUGAUUGCUAUGACUUAAUUACAGUUACACAUUGAAUUUGCUUUUAUACUUAUAAAAAGGAAUGCAGUUGUCAUGAAUUGAUUUACAAUAUUAUCAAAAUAUCUAUCUUUGGAUAGUAGAAUGUUCCAUGGUCAGCAUAAUACAUGUUUAUCCUAAAAGUGGGGUUGCAGACCAGUCAUAGUGUAUCAGUAGCCUUAACUGGUAUGUGCUAGUUAAAGACUAUUGAUUACAAAUGACAUACCUUUUAUAAAAACAUUUGGAUGAUUCAUAAAGAAUAAUUUCAAAGACCAUAAUCCAUGUUUUAUUUAUAACUGUACCAUAGGCAGCAAAUCCUGUCUCAAAUGUGUAAGAAAAUAUUCAUUGUUAACAUUAUAUUCCCAUUUUAGUCCAAAAAAAGUGUUGAAUCUCUAUCUAAUGUUUCACUCCUUGCAAGAUUAGUUUUUGACAGUUGCUGAAAAUAUGUUUGGGAACAUAUUUUUGUGUUUGUUUUCAGGGUACUAGAAACAUCCUUUACUGUUUUUCGAUUUCUACACAACUUGAUUCACCCCUACAUUGGGUGGUGUUAAGUAUAGUGUUGAAAGCAGGUGUUGGUGUUGCUCAGCACCAUCACUAGCAAUAACACUGUUUGAUGUGAUCUUUUGAACCAAGUGUCAUAGUUGGCGUUGAAGAUCUACAUGCAUUUUACAAUUGACUAAUACUUGACCCUAAGGAUUGGUUCAGGGUUUGAUGUUGGUGUUGGCAAUUUCAAGCUCAUUAACAGAAUGAAAACAACACUGAAAUUAGCUUUUACAGCAAAGAUGAGUGCAAAUUAUCAUAGUUUUAUUGUAAGAAUAUAACUCUUUUGAUUUCUUAAUGGGUUUUUGCAUUCCAUAUGAUGAGAUUUAAGUGCAAUUUCUCCUCAUUGUUGCUUUCGUUGUCAAGACUUUUUGUGUGAAGUUGAGAUGAUUGCACAGAGCUGUGAUAUCAUCACUCAGUAUAGAGCUAUCAAUGAUGUAUUUAACAUAAUCAGUCCCAUGUUGCAACACGAUUCAGCAGCCUUUUUACGUUCUCUCAACACCAGCACCAAUGCACUACUUGAAAUCACCCACUGUAAGCAACUAAGACUGACUAAGUCCAUGCCGGGGUAAUAAAAGUCUGUAAGCCAAACCAAGUAUUUGGAUAUUAUUUCACUGAGCACCCUAGAUAUAUUAACCAGAUUAUGAUUGUUAAUGUUACCAGACAAUUCACCUUUUGCAAAGUUAAGGAGCCUGAAACACAAAUGUUUGUAUCCAUAGUUAAUCAUUUAUGGGAUGUGUAAACAGUUGUUAGAUUCAUCCAUUCAGAUAAUGGACCAGCUGGGUGUUUCAUAAAGCUGUUCUUAAGUUUUGAGCUACGUUACAAACGAUUGGUGAAUCUUUCUUGUGGUGAAUGAUACAAACCAGAUUUUCAUUGGUGUUCAUGUAGUUCCUGGGAAAGGAUCACCAGCCAUUUGUUAAGUUUCUCGUAACUUACGGACAGCUAUAUGAAAUACCCACCUGUGUUAGGAAGAGAUUCAUUUAAACACAGCUCAAAGAAUCAAGUCCCUAUUGCAUGUUUCUUAUUGGUUGAAAAUCAAGUUGUGUUUGAUUUUAGGAAUGAAGUCUGAUUGCAGCUCUUCCUGCAACAGGCCCAAGAAGACUUUCUAAAAAUCAUGUGGGUGCCUCUGAAGAUUAAAGGUACAAAAUUCUACUGUGUCUGUUAUAAGAAAUAUUUUGGAAGAAAAAGAAAGAAACCUUUCAAAGUUAAUUACUUCUGUUAUAAAGCUGUAAAUAAUGAACUACAAAGAGGUCAUUAGAUUAGAAUUUGUUUUGAGAAAAAUAUUAUUAAAAAGCAUGAAUUUUAUGAAAAGA